AUACAAGAUUUGUAAAUACUGUCAAAUUGUCAAAUAAAUGAGUUAAUUAAAUAACGUAACAGGCUUCCUGGUCUUUAACCAAAAUUUACUCGAUUCACUUGUGGAUUAUAUAACAUGACCCAACUAAGAAGUAGAUUAUUAUUUAUUUUAGUGUUGUGUCUAGCGCGGCCAAAGUUAUAAUGAGGCUCUGUGCGGCUUAAAUCCGGCACUGGUCACACCACGUCUUCUAUCCACAAUCCAUAACUAAUUACACAAGUCAGCACAAGGAUCUAGAUGUCACUGAUUAAAAUUGUUUUGAUGGCCAAGAGUGUUUAUGUUUGCUAUGUGGAGCCAAUAUGGCUGGAUAUGAGUCAUCAUACAACAGUGAGUACAGUUUUUUACUUUUUGUUUUCAAAUGAGUACUUCAAACGUGCACUUGGAGAUUCAAUAGAAACGGGAAAGAGAAGCUAGUUAUUAAUGUGCACCCUUAAAAAAAUAUCCAAAUGUAAUAAUAUUAGAAGAAAAUUUCACAAAUAGAUCUACCGAUUUUUUUCCACUUAUAAAUGGACAUCAUUUUAUAAUAGGAACGAAAACUGAAUAUAAAUGAAAAGAAAUCAAUUUUACCAAUUAUUAUAAAUAUUUAUUUGUUUUUGAAUAAUAAAUUAAAGCAGCAUAAAACUAGCUAGGCCAAUCAAUUCAUUUAAUCUAAUUUUGCAAGUAAAAAAAAAAAGGUUUUCGUUAAAAAAAAAAAGGUUAUCAACCCUGGUCACUUGGUCCUUUAGAAACUAAACAUUCAAUACAUUGUUGUCAUAUGUUAUAUGUAAUCAUUAUCAUCUUUCCUAUUUCCUCAUGUGGAACAUAGGGCUUCAGUAAAAACAGCCAAUUUCCACGAAUUCUUGCUAGUUUUUUAAUGAUUCCCCUGCCCUUUCCUGUCCUCUCGGCUUCAUCUAGUACACUGUUAUGUGUAAUGCACUAGUCCAAAGUCCAUAUUAAAUAUAUUGUUACUGUUAUGAUUGUAGCCUACAUGGACCUAGAGAAUAACCAACUAAAAAAGGCAUUAUGGAAAUAAAUACAAUUGUCUAUAUAAGUGUUAUUUUACAAGUGCCUUUUGAUUAGCUUAGCGUGCAGCUUUCAUUGGCGUGACUUUGUUCGUUGCUCAGCAGUGAGUCGGUUCAUUGUUCAUUGAA